rnacentral:rRNA from 1 species
AGAGUUUGAUCCUGGCUCAGGACCCACGCUGGCUGUGUGCUUAACACAUGCAAGUCGAACGGAAAGGCCCCGCUCGCGGGGUACUCGAGUGGCGAACGGGUGAGUAACACGUGGGUGAUCUGCCCUGCACUUCGGGAUAAGCCUGGGAAACUGGGUCUAAUACCGGAUAUGACCUCCCUUUAGUGUGGGGGGUGGAAAGAUUUAUCGGUGCAGGAUGAGCCCGCGGCCUAUCAGCUUGUUGGUGGGGUAAUGGCCUACCAAGGCGUCGACGGGUAGCCGGCCUGAGAGGGUGGACGGCCACAUUGGGACUGAGAUACGGCCCAGACUCCUACGGGAGGCAGCAGUGGGGAAUAUUGCACAAUGGGCGGAAGCCUGAUGCAGCGACGCCGCGUGGGGGAUGACGGCCUUCGGGUUGUAAACCUCUUUCGACAGGGACGAAGUGAAAAUGACGGUACCUGUAUAAGAAGCACCGGCUAACUACGUGCCAGCAGCCGCGGUAAUACGUAGGGUGCGAGCGUUGUCCGGAAUUACUGGGCGUAAAGAGCUCGUAGGUGGUUUGUCACGUCGUCUGUGAAAUUCCGGGGCUUAACCUCGGGCGUGCAGGCGAUACGGGCAAUACUUGAGUGCUGUAGGGGAGACUGGAAUUCCUGGUGUAGCGUGAAAUGCGCAGAUAUCAGGGGGACACCAAUGGCGAAGGCAGGUCUCUGGGCAGUUACUGACGCUGAGGAGCGAAAGCAUGGGUAGCGAACAGGAUUAGAUACCCUGGUAGUCCAUGCCGUAAACGGUGGGCGCUAGGUGUAGGGGACUUCCACGUUCUCUGUGCCGUAGCUAACGCAUUAAGCGCCCCGCCUGGGGAGUACGGCCGCAAGGCUAAAACUCAAAGGAAUUGACGGGGGCCCGCACAAGCGGCGGAGCAUGUGGAUUAAUUCGAUGCAACGCGAAGAACCUUACCUGGGCUUGACAUACACCGGACCGGCGUAGAGAUACGUCUUCCCUUGUGGCCGGUGUACAGGUGGUGCAUGGUUGUCGUCAGCUCGUGUCGUGAGAUGUUGGGUUAAGUCCCGCAACGAGCGCAACCCUUGUCUUAUGUUGCCAGCACGUGAUGGUGGGGACUCAUGAGAGACUGCCGGGGUCAACUCGGAGGAAGGUGGGGAUGACGUCAAAUCAUCAUGCCCCUUAUGUCCAGGGCUUCACACAUGCUACAAUGGUCGGUACAGCAGGUCGCGAACUCGUGAGAGUAAGCCAAUCCUUCAAAGCCGGCCUCAGUUCGGAUUGGGGUCUGCAACUCGACCCCAUGAAGUCGGAGUCGCUAGUAAUCGCAGAUCAGCAACGCUGCGGUGAAUACGUUC